rnacentral:rRNA from 1 species
GCCGCGUGAGUGAUGAAGGUUUUCGGAUCGUAAAACUCUGUUGUCAGGGAAGAACAAGUAUCGGAGUAACUGCCGGUACCUUGACGGUACCUGACCAGAAAGCCACGGCUAACUACGUGCCAGCAGCCGCGGUAAUACGUAGGUGGCAAGCGUUGUCCGGAAUUAUUGGGCGUAAAGCGCGCGCAGGCGGUCUUUUAAGUCUGAUGUGAAAGCCCCCGGCUCAACCGGGGAGGGUCAUUGGAAACUGGGAGACUUGAGUGCAGAAGAGAAGAGUGGAAUUCCACGUGUAGCGGUGAAAUGCGUAGAGAUGUGGAGGAACACCAGUGGCGAAGGCGACUCUUUGGUCUGUAACUGACGCUGAGGCGCGAAAGCGUGGGGAGCGAACAGGAUUAGAUACCCUGGUAGUCCACGCCGUAAACGAUGAGUGCUAAGUGUUAGAGGGUUUCCGCCCUUUAGUGCUGCAGCAAACGCAUUAAGCACUCCGCCUGGGGAGUACGGUCGCAAGACUGAAACUCAAAGGAAUUGACGGGGGCCCGCACAAGCGGUGGAGCAUGUGGUUUAAUUCGAAGCAACGCGAAGAACCUUACCAGGUCUUGACAUCCUUAUGACUUCCCUAGAGAUAGGGCUUCCCCUUCGGGGGCAUAAGUGACAGGUGGUGCAUGGUUGUCGUCAGCUCGUGUCGUGAGAUGUUGGGUUAAGUCCCGCAACGAGCGCAACCCUUG